AUCGCGGGGCCGGACGCGGACGCGGACGCGGGCGCGGCGGCUGUGGUCCGGCCCCGUGCUCUCGGCCGGCCGCGGGGCCGGGCACGGAGCCGGAGCGGCGGGCGGAGGCGAGCGGGGAGGCUCGGAGGCGGAGCUGGGCCGCGGGGGAGCGUCUGUGUGCGCCGUGCGGGGAGAAGAGCAGAGCAGAGCCGAGCCGUUCGGCUCGUGGGGAGGCGUGCCGUGCUGCCACACGGGAGGGUAACUCGGUCCUUUGUUACGGGGAGACCGCAAGGACACCCAGCUGGGCGCUGCUGGAUUGCUGCAACCUGCCAGGAAAGCACAACUGAAGCGCCGUCCGGCAGCAUGGUGAACGAGCGGCGCGAGGGCGGGCUGCUGGUGCACCUGGGCCCCCA
rnacentral:lncRNA from 1 species